AUUGAACGCUGGCGGCAGGCCUAACACAUGCAAGUCGAACGGUAACAGGAAUCAGCUUGCUGAUUCGCUGACGAGUGGCGGACGGGUGAGUAAUAUCUGGGAAACUGCCUGAUGGAGGGGGAUAACUACUGGAAACGGUAGCUAAUACCGCAUAACGUCGCAAGACCAAAGAGGGGGACCUUCGGGCCUCUUGCCAUCGGAUGUGCCCAGAUGGGAUUAGCUAGUAGGUGGGGUAACGGCUCACCUAGGCGACGAGCCCUAGCUGGUCUGAGAGGAUGACCAGACACACUGGAACUGAGACACGGUCCAGACUCCUACGGGAGGCAGCAGUGGGGAAUAUUGCACAAUGGGCGCAAGCCUGAUGCAGCCAUGCCGCGUGUAUGAAGAAGGCCUUCGGGUUGUAAAGUACUUUCAGCGGGGAGGAAGGGAGUAAAGUUAAUACCUUUGCUCAUUGACGUUACCCGCAGAAGAAGCACCGGCUAACUCCGUGCCAGCAGCCGCGGUAACAC
rnacentral:rRNA from 1 species